rnacentral:lncRNA from 1 species
AAGAGACUGAGAGAUGGGGAAGGAAAGCAGAGGAAAGUAGGAGCUGCAGGAAAGACAGCACCAUGUCAGCUGUGGAGCUCUGGGCAGGUGCAGCAUGGCUUGCUGGGAGCCAGAGCAGGUAAGUAAUUCACCAUUAUAGACUAUUAAAAACUAUUUAGAGAUCCUCAGAUGGAAUACACAGACACCAAGAUAUAAGAUUAGGAGUUGGGGAAAAUUGGCUUUUAAACAGGCUACAGAUUUUGCCCGAGCCACUGUAAGAAUUUCUUGCUAGUUUGGAAGUAUAAUUACACAAAGAGCUGGAGCUCAGAGAUGCUGGGAGCCCCUGCUGUGCAGAGAGACAGUCCUCAGAGACAAACAACAGAUACUGCCUGCCUCCCACAGACAGGUAAGUAAAGGACAGAGAUAGAUAGAACUGUAUUGGUUUUAAGGAUAGAAGGAAGUAUACUGGUAAUUGUUUAAUUGUUUUUAAGUACACAUGGAAUAAAGAAAUCCAGGCCUUUGAUCUCAAAUGUAGGAAAUAAAGGCAGGGAGAGAGAAUAUAAGGAAUUAAAAAAUGCAUUUAAAGAAAUUUAAAAGUCUUGCCAGAGCAAAUAUUCAAAAUCUUUGAACAUGGUCUACAUGGAAUUCUUUAGCCUGGUGUGACAAAAAAAAAAAAAAAAAAAAAAGAGCCUGGAGAUAGACUGUGGGAAUAAGGAGACAGACUGACAGAGUAAGCAGACAAACUGAGAGAGUAAGGAGACAGAGACUGAGGGAGUAAGGAGACAGACUGAGAGAGUAAGCAGACAGACUGAGAGAGUAAGGAGAUAGACUUAGACCGUAAGGAGAAGGAAGUGAAUUAGCCUAGAGAUAGACUUACACAGUAAGGAGAGGGGAGAUAAUUAAAGCUAAAUGCAUAGAGGAAUUAAGUAAUCGAUCUUAAAUUAUAUGUCAAAGAGCAGGGUGUAAGUAGAAAAACUUACCUCACACAUGUAAUAGAAGCUUAUGCUAAUUCAAGUUACAUAAAAGGAAAGAAACAUAUGUACUCACAGAUAUAUUAAUUUCCAUAGAAGGGAAGAUUUAAGUAUACUUAGAUAAAUAAAUAAAUGAGGCUUUUGAUAUUAAAUUAUAGUUCCAAAAGCAGGGGGUAGGAAGACUAACCUAUCUCAGACAGUAGAAACUUAGGCCUCAAUCUCACUAUUUAAAAUUAAUCAUGUAAGAACAAAACAGGAGAUGGUAGGGGAGUGCUGUUUCAACAGAUAAUAUUUGUUUAGAUUGCUUUAAUUCCCUUGUUUUAAUUAUAAAAUAAAGAUGAUUAUAAGUUUGGUG